UUUUUUUGGCAGAGGCCUUGCUGUGUUGCUCAGGCUGGUCUCAAACUCCUGAGAUCAAGUGAUCCUCCCUCCUGCCUUGGCCUUGCAAGGUCCCAAAGUGCUGGGAUUAUAGGCGCACUCAGCUUAAACUUCUUUGUUAAAAUGUGUGUGCUUUAGUAGAUUCCUUAUCCAUAUCCUUUGCCCGUUAUUUCCCUUCAGUGGUUGUCACCUUCUUAUUCCUUUUCAUUGUUCAGGAAUCACAUUUUUACAAAGGAUUUACAAACAUAUUUGACCAUACCUUACAGUUCCUUGGCUUUCAUACUUUAUUCCUAGCAGUCUUUUCUUACCUUUGAACCUCUUUGUUUCCAUCUUUUAAUGGCUUCUACUUUUUUCCUAGCCUUUAUGUAUUACCAGAAAUCUAUAAUGGGAGGUAGCACUGUGCAAUUUAUAACAUAUUCCCUUCUCCAGUUUAGGGUACCCCUUUUCUGUCGAGGAAAUACCUAGGGAAAAGAAGUUAGAACAGAAGGAGAUAGGCCUUUAUAGAAAAAUAAUUUCUUAUCAGAAAAUAAAUACACUUUUUUUUUGUUUUUGUUUUUGUUUUUGAGACGGAGUCUCGCUCUUUCGCCCAGGCCGAAGUGCAGUGGCGCGAUCACGGCUAACUGCAAGCUCCGCCUCUCCGGUUCACGCCAUUCUCCUGCCUCAGCCUCCCGAGUAGCUGGGACUACAGGCGCCCGCCACCGCGCCCGGCUAAUUUUUUUUUUUGUAUUUUUAGUAGAGAUGGGGUUUUACCGUGUUAGCCAGGAUGGUCUUGAUCUCCUGACCUCGUGAUCUGCCCGCCUCGGCCUCCCAAAGUGCUGGGAUUACAGGCGUGAGCCACCGCGCCCGGCCAGAAAUACACUUUAAUCACAGAGAACAGGUUAAUGAAAAUAAAUUGUGAUUUAUUGAAAACAAACAGGGUUGUAUUAUGCAUAAACUGGUAAGCCAGUGUUUAAACUUGACAAUAUAUUACAAACACUUUUAUGUUAUUAAUAUUCUAAUGUUAUUUCAGUGGCCAUAUAAUAUUGCAGUGUUAAAUAUGCCGUAAUUUAAUCAACCCCUAUUAUUUCUAAUUUUGCAUCAUUAUAAAUAAAACUGUUAGGAAUAUCCUUACAACUAAAUCUUUUUGCAUUCUAUGACUCUUUAGACAAUUCUAGAAACUCUUAGGAAAAUCCUAAAGAUGACUUUCUUAAAGCAUGAACAGUUAUAUAUAUAGUAUACAUUUAAUUUUUUUUCUGUUAGUUGGGUAUCCGAAGAUGGCAUCUUGUUUUAAUUUGUACUUUUUGAUUUUUAAAAAAAGUUGAAUAUUUUAAAAUGUGUUUAUUGGCCAUUCUCUUCUUUUUUUUAAUCCACAACCUUUGCCCAUUUUUCAUGUGAGGGAUUAUCUUUUUACUGCUUUUCCUCGUAAGCUCAGCUAUAGCAUUCAAUUUGUUACAUGUAAAUAUAUUAAAACUUCAUUUAAGUAUAAUGCUUAUUUUUGUUUUCAAUAUAUUAUUGUUUGUCAAUCUUUGUUUUGUUUACUGCCUUUGGUGAUAUGUUUUGGAAGUUUCCCCCACUCCGAGAUUUUAUAAAUAUUCACAUUUUCUUGUAAUAAUUUUGUGAUCUAAUUUUUUAAAAUAUUUAACUCUUUAACCCACAUGGGAUAUAUUUUCAUGUUGGUGCAAAGUAGGGAUAUAAUCUUAUGUUUUGUUUUCCUCAAAUGAUUGGCCAGCCAUCCAAAAGAGACGGCUAGUCUUCAUAUGAGAGGCAACUAUUUAUUAAUUUACUUUUACAAUUCAGUAAUACAAUGAAAUGAGUAUAUACCUCAUGUGUUUCAUUAGAAUAGAGUGCUUAAAUCUUUUUUUUUCCUUUAGGUGGCUUUUUUUUUAAUGGAAAUAGUGUUUCUCAUUCCUAAACAAUAUAGACUAGCAAUCUGGAGAUUACCCUUAACAUAUAUCAUUAUCUAAAGGUACGGUUUUCACCACCUUCUUAAUUAAAAUAUUUUUUGCUUCAUAGAUUUUCAAGCUUUAACUCUUCUAUCUAUCUCUGAAUCAUUUACUAUUCAUUUUUAAAGGUUAAAAAGGCAAUCUGUCUUUAGAACAGAUAUCCUGAUUUUAAAGUAAGUAUUUUAUCUUCAUCUGUUUUCGUUAUAUAACGAUUAAGCAUGGAACAUUGCAUUUCUUGAUUACUUGUUCAAAUACAUGCAUUAAUUUUUAUUGUCAUAAUUUAAAUCAUGAAAAUUAGGGGUAAUGCAGA
rnacentral:lncRNA from 10 species